rnacentral:rRNA from 1 species
AUGCUCAUCGACGACUACUACAACAACAUGAAGAAGAAGAUCACCGACGACGAGCACAAGCGCUGGGCCACCCUGCCUCUGUCCAUGAGGCACAUCGAGUACGCGGCAAAGGACGCCUACGCAGCGAUGGCGCCCGUAGCGGACACAUGCGUGUACGCAGAAGGUCUGGAGCUCACCAACGCUGAGUGGCGCAGCAUGCUCGGGUGCCUGAUGAUACCCAACAGGGGGUUUCGGCUGCCAUUUCUUCAUCGCCUCACAACCGCAGAUCUGCAGGAAAGUUGGAAACUGCCAUCCACAAUAAAAUUUCAUGCUCCGAGUUCAGGGAAGAUUACUUUGGAGACAGAACACAAGAAUGGGUAUGCAGACAUGCAAGCUGACUACCACAUCGACUCUGAAAACUGCAUCAACAUAACUACUGGUUGGAAAGAUUUUGUCUCCCAGAAUGGCUUUGACGUCGGAGAAGUGGCCAUGGUGUUUUUCUACAAAGCAGAAGACUCCCUCAAGUUUACAAUAUUUGCACUCUAG